UGCCCUCUAUCGGGGGUUCCUNUUACACAUGCCAGUUCGGGCCUGCCGUCGCCGAUAGAUCUUUGCUUCUUUUUUGCCAUGCGUGAUUGUCCGGUCGUGGUUGCAUGAAUCAGUAUCCGGGUACUUGCCCCGAUGUUACCGUGUGUUAUUACCUAUCUUCGGAUAGUAUGGUCUAAUCCGCAUACCCCUACGGGGUAAUGGUUGGGAUCGCAAGACCUCUCACUAUUGACGUCCGAUAUCGGAUUAGCUAUUGUGUGGUAAAGGCUCACCAAGGCACGAUCCGUAGCUGGUNUUGAGAGGACGACCAGCCACACUGGGACUGAGACACGGCCCAGACUCCUACGGGAGGCAGCAUGGGGAAUUUUGGACAAUGGGGGAAACCCUGAUCCAGCCAUCCCGCGUGUAUGAUGAAGGCCUUCGGGUUGUAAAGUACUUUUGGCAGAGAAGAAAAGGUAUCCCCUAAUACGGGAUACUGCUGACGGUAUCUGCAGAAUAAGCACCGGCUAACUACGUGCCAGCAGCCGCGGUAAUACGUAGGGUGCAAGCGUUAAUCGGAAUUACUGGGCGUAAAGCGUGUGUAGGCGGUUCGGAAAGAAAGAUGUGAAAUCCCAGGGCUCAACCUUGGAACUGCAUUUUUAACUGCCGAGCUAGAGUAUGUCAGAGGGGGGUAGAAUUCCACGUGUAGCAGUGAAAUGCGUAGAUAUGUGGAGGAAUACCGAUGGCGAAGGCAGCCCCCUGGGAUAAUACUGACGCUCAGACACGAAAGCGUGGGGAGCAAACAGGAUUAGAUACCCUGGUAGUCCACGCCCUAAACGAUGUCAACUAGCUGUUGGGGCCGUUAGGCCUUAGUAGCGCAGCUAACGCGUGAAGUUGACCGCCUGGGGAGUACGGGUCGCAAGAUU
rnacentral:rRNA from 1 species